GGGCAGAAUAAGUCAUAGCGGAUGAUAAGCUCAGGGGCUCAAUAGCUUAAGGAUGCGAUAGACCUCAAGGAGAUGGGAGAGGAAAGGGGCAUGUGAGUGAAAGUGCCCAUCUACACUAACCGAGUGGAGGAUGACGACUAGAGAGGGGGCAAUGGGGUCAACCAACUCAAGUGUUGGAGGCAUUGAAGGAAUGAAAUUUUCUAAGGGG
rnacentral:lncRNA from 1 species